UACGUAGGUGGCAAGCGUUGUUCGGAUUCACUGGGCGUAAAGGGUGCGUAGGCGGUCGGGUAAGUCUGAUGUGAAAUCUCACAGCUUAACUGUGAAACUGCAUUGGAUACUAUUCGGCUUGAGAGUUGGAGGGGGGACUGGAAUUCUUGGUGUAGCAGUGAAAUGCGUAGAUAUCAAGAGGAACACCAGUGGCGAAGGCGAGUCCCUGGACAACUUCUGACGCUGAGGCACGAAAGCUAGGGGAGCAAACAGG
rnacentral:rRNA from 1 species